rnacentral:rRNA from 1 species
GACGAACGCUGGCGGCGCGCUUAACACAUGCAAGUCGAACGGAAAGGCCUGCUUUCCCUUGUGGAUUGCGGGUACUCGAGUGGCGAACGGGUGAGUAACACGUGAGUGAUCUGCCCCCAACUUGGGUAUAAGCCUGGGAAACUGGGUCUAAUUCCCGAUAGGACUGCAGGGUGGUGCCUGUGGUGGAAAACGAUUUUCUAGUGGUUGGGGAUGAGCUCGCGGCCUAUCAGCUUGUUGGUGGGGUAAUGGCCUACCAAGGCGGCGACGGGUAGCCGGCCUGAGAGGGUGGACGGCCGCAUUGGGACUGAGAUACGGCCCAGACUCCUACGGGAGGCAGCAGUGGGGAAUAUUGCACAAUGGGCGGAAGCCUGAUGCAGCGACGCCGCGUGGGGGAUGACGGCCUUCGGGUUGCAAACUCCUUUCGACCGCGAGGAAGCCACCUGGUUGGAAGGGUGGUGACGGUAGUGGUAGAAGAAGCACCGGCUAACUACGUG